rnacentral:lncRNA from 1 species
AAAUCCAUUAUGACUGAAUGACUAACUCAAAGAUUCAAGAAAUUAUUAUUUAGUUCGUAAAUUACUCAAAACUCUUAAUACUUGAAAUUCCUCAGCUUGUUACAAUCUUCAAUUAAUUGUUUAAUAAGACAAAGAAGAUGAACUCCAAUCAGUAAAGUUUCCUUCUCAUGUAUAAUCUGGUUGAUUCAGCUCUUUUAGAAGGAAGGCAAAACUAAUUUAGGAUGCUGCCCUUAAAUGCUCAGGCCCACUCACGUAGUCUCCCUAGUUCUGACGUCUUAACAUCAGUGGGGAACACUUGAGAAGAUUAGAUGGCAGAAGAGAGAAGGCAGUGGGCCUUGAGAGCAGCAGCUAAGGAGCCUCUCUUGCUCUCUUGAAGAGAGAAGUGUCACCUGGAAAGAGAAACAGGGAGCUGGUAGUCUCAGCGUUUUCCAGAGGAUACCGACUUUUGAGGCAAUGGCCCAGAGUGGCCACAUGUGUCUUGAAUAAUCGAAAUAACCUUUGCCUUUCACCGGGAGCCUCUUAAAGAUCAGAGAAACCAAGGAAGUAAUUUCAAGAUAUAAGAGGAAGUCAACAGGAUCACAUAUACUAAAAGAUGUCAAGGAAAUAAAGAGAGAAAAACUUCCAUUGGAUUUGUGCGGGAGCCUUGAACAAACACGUGUGCUACACGACACACCAGUUCUGGAGCUCCUUCUUGUGUUCUUCCCAAUAACCCCGCCCUGUGUGAAUAUGAAGCAUCAUAUACCUAUAAGCUUGAUGAGCAGUGUGUAUGUCCACGCGUAGGAUCUGAACCUGUGAACCCCAGGCUGCCAAAGAAGAGUGUGUGAACUUAACCACUAUGCCACUGGGCUGGCCCAAAGGCCUUCUGUUUUUAAGAGCGUCUCUCAGAGUUUAUACUGUUAUUUUGAAGAUGCUGGUUCUUAAUCCACCUACAAUGUGGGAUGACAGGGCUGGAGGAUGAGGACAAUUGCUGUCUACUUGCAAGAUAACUGCCUCAGGCAUCACUUGCUAUUUCUGAGGAUGACGUGAGUAAGGAAAACAAGGACAGAAGGCUAGGCCUGUUAUCUUUGAUGUGAUGGCAAGGAAGACUUCUCAGAAUAGUUGGCAUUUAAAUGGAAACUAGAAGUCUAUGUGUGUGUGCAUACAAACAUGGGGUAGGUUUUAGGAAUGACACCAGUCUUUCUUUUUUCUUUCUUCCUUCCUUUCUCCCUUCUUUCUCUUUUGCGGCAUCUCUGGAGACCAUAUGCUGAAGGUGGAAGCAUCAUAAGAUGGAAUUUUUUGGCAUCUUUGUAUAACUUCUUGAAGAGAGAGCUUCCCUAUAAUGAAGAACUAUAUUGACUGUGACAUGAAAAAUAAACAGUUUUUACUUUGUUUUAAUCCACUUAAAACAAAACAGAGCAUUUAGCCUGUUGGUUUCAUGAAGAUUUGGGGUUUAUCAGGAAACAACACUACAAGGGAACAAAAAAAUGUGGGCAUAAGCAAUAAAGUGAUCAUCGUGAUAGAAAUUUAGGUUGGAUAAGAACAGGUGGUAUUGAUGGAUAGUUAGAAAGUGACAGUGUCGAUAUAUUUACAACAUUGACAAGUAAAAGGGUUGUGAGACUAUUUGCCCAAGUGAGAAGAAAAGAAUGGAAUGCUGUUUUAAAGUAUGUGUUUGAUAUCAAGAGUUGAUGGGCUGUUCAUUUUCUUGCAAUCUCAAGAUGGAAGGUGUGCUCAUAGAAGUGAAUGAUUGAUGAGAUAUAAAGGAAACAUAAAAUCACCAACUAUGAGAUCGACAAACUAAGGGGCCAAAGGUUUAUGAAGGACCAUUUAAAAGAAUUCAAUUCAUCCAUUCCAACAUUUUAAAUAUUCUAGUUUUAUUAGUAGAUAAAGCCAGAAUAGCAGAAAACUCCUAUUGGAACUCUCUGGAACUUCUUCUCUUUACAUUUUACAGAAUUACUUUU